UGGCCUUAAGAUCUGGAUCAGGAUUUCUAAUAGCGUGGUCCGGACCUCAGGGUCACCUAGAGGGAAGAGGAGGUGCUUGUUAACAAUGCCCAUUACUGGGUCCCUCCCUCCCCUUGGACGCAGGGGAUGGAGAAGGGCCUCAAUCUCAUGACACGAUGUACAUCUUCCAGGUCUGAAACUCAGUGGAAACUGGAUUCUUGGGAAUGCGUCCUGCAGGUGCCAGUUUGAUUUUCCAACAAAUUACUCAGUGCUUUUGGACUCAGGAUGAUGUCAGUUGGCUCCCACUUACCUCCUGGGCUGCUAUUACAUUAUUACUAAAGCACUCGAGGUCCUAGAUGAAAGUACAUAGCUGUGUAUUUUUAGUUGUGGGUCCUUUCUAGUUGUGGCAUGUGGGACGCCGCCUCAACGUGGCCUGAUGAGCCGUGCCGUGUCCACACCCAGGAUCCGAACCGGGGAAACCCUGGGCCACUGAGAAGGAGCACACGAACUUAACCACUCGGCCACGGGCAGCCCCUACCCAUCAUUUCUUGUGUUCCAAGUUGUAUAUCUUACUUGCAGGUCCUUCUAGUUGUGGGCAUUUUAGUUUUUGAACAGAGGAAUUAUAUUAUCCGGCUUCCGUUUUAACGGGAUUCUUCUGAGUGCAGUGUUGAAGAUGGACUG
rnacentral:lncRNA from 1 species